GUGCCAGCAGCCGCGGUAAUACGAAGGGUGCAAGCGUUAAUCGGAAUUACUGGGCGUAAAGCGCGCGUAGGUGGUUCAGCAAGUUGGAGGUGAAAUCCCCGGGCUCAACCUGGGAACUGCCUCCAAAACUACUGAGCUAGAGUACGGUAGAGGGUAGUGGAAUUUCCUGUGUAGCGGUGAAAUGCGUAGAUAUAGGAAGGAACACCAGUGGCGAAGGCGACUACCUGGACUGAUACUGACCCUGAGGUGCGAAAGCGUGGGGAGCAAACAGGAUUAGAAACCCCUGUAGUCC
rnacentral:rRNA from 1 species